GGUGAACGCUGGCGGCGUGCCUAAUACAUGCAAGUCGAGCGAACGGACGAGAAGCUUGCUUCUCUGAUGUUAGCGGCGGACGGGUGAGUAACACGUGGAUAACCUACCUAUAAGACUGGGAUAACUUCGGGAAACCGUAGCUAAUACCGGAUAAUAUUUUGAACCGCAUGGUUCAAAAGUGAAGGACGGUCUUGCUGUCACUUAUAGAUGGAUCCGCGCUGCAUUAGCUAGUUGGUAAGGUAACGGCUUACCAAGGCAACGAUGCAUAGCCGACCUGAGAGGGUGAUCGGCCACACUGGAACUGAGACACGGUCCAGACUCCUACGGGAGGCAGCAGUAGGGAAUCUUCCGCAAUGGGCGAAAGCCUGACGGAGCAACGCCGCGUGAGUGAUGAAGGUCUUCGGAUCGUAAAACUCUGUUAUUAGGGAAGAACAAAUGUGUAAGUAACUGUGCACAUCUUGACGGUACCUAAUCAGAAAGCCACGGCUAACUACGUG
rnacentral:rRNA from 1 species